GGCAAGCCGUCCCCAUCAUACACCACCUCCCAACCAGGGAACGUGACGUGUAACACGUGCUUCCUCUGCUCACGCUGCGUCACAGAGCAGUUCAGGCAUGUCCCCUUCAAACACCAGAAAACUACAAUGACCUGAUGAUGAUGUCGUCCAUCUGUGGGCUGUCGUGCUUUCUGGAUGAGAUUGGGAACACUAUGAAGCAAGCAAGGCUGCUAGCACAAGUGAAAUGGCGAGGAAUCUUCUUCAAUAUUGAUAGACGUCAGUGGUGGUGUGGAGCAGAUGUUUAUCUUGUUUCCCUCCAUCUGGAGUGAGGCUCAGAUGCUGGCGUUGGAUGUAAAGCUCCGUAUCUUGAGUUUGAAUGAGUGACAGUGAUUAUGAUGUGAUUUGAACGCAGCCCCUGGCAGAGCUCUGCAGAUUUCACUGAUGGUGAGUAACAAUGGCUGGUUUAUCACUUUGGAGAGCCACCGAUCUCCAAAACUCUCUCUCUCACUCUCUCUCUCUCUCUCUCUCUCUCUCACUCUCUCAUAUGUUCCCUCCUGCUGUCCUGCGUCCCGCUGAGCCUUUCAGCCUGUAAUUAAUCCCAGACCCACAUCAGGCCCAGGGGCUGCCGCCAGGUCAGAGGUCACAGAGCGAAGUGGCACUCUGAGGGUCGUGGAGGUGAGAGUCGAAUGAAACACACACACUCGGGUUUCUGAGUCAGCAGCAAGACUCGACUCCACACAUCCUCCUCUAACACCAACAGGGAACGGGUUCAGUUCUGGAUCACGCGCCACAUUUUAAACCGUUUAGAGCAUUUCAACCAAAAAUAUAUUAAAAACCUGGAACUAAGAUGUAGCUGUUUUUUCUAGCAUGAACUGUGAUGACAUCAGUGGGCGUGUCAUUAGUUUGGCAAGGAAGUGAAGCACAGUGAUGGAAAACACAACAGAAAAGGAAACAUCUUCAGAAAAAAAUGGACCAAAAACAAAUAUCUGUAAUAACAGAGCAAAACCUCGGAGGUCAUCAAUGUGCCAUCUCCGCCAUCUUGCGAUGACUGUUUAGUCCUGUUGUGAAUUGUGCCACACCCUCCGCUCAUGACACAUACCUUGAUUGCAAUGGUUUUGCGCAAAACUGGUGAAAAUGUGCGUUGGUUCGCUUUCCAGUUCAAGAACCUGUUCCCUGUUGGUCGAAAAGGUGUACGAGUGAUGAUCUGAUCAGUUCUGGUAAUCAGACAGCAGCAGAGUCCUGAGACUCAUCCUACAUUAGAUUAAUCCACUUUUAUCCAGAGUGACAUACAACACACCCGGAGCAGCAGCUGGGGGUUCGGUACUUUGCUCAAGGGCACUUCAGCUAUUCCUGCUGGUCCAAACCAGCAACCUUUUGGUCCCAAAGCUGCUUCUCUAACCAUGAGGCCAUGGCUUCUAAUCUGCUCUCCUCUACAAAGAUAAUCACCUGCUCAACAGUCCGUCACACUGAAACACUCAAACACUACAACACAUUCUGAUAAACAGUCUCACAACACACUCGGACUCUUUGAAUCGACUCUGAAUGCACUCCAACACACUCCGACACACACUUCUUCUUCCCCUGUGAUCUUGAUGUGUCUCCGUCCUUCAUCUCACCUGGUUUAAUCAUCACACUUUGAAGUGAUCAAGUGCGAGAAUCAUUACAGGCUCUAAACAGACGGAGAGACAGGAAGACAUCUGGGGUCCAUAUGGUGGACAAUGCCAUGGUGAUGAUGAUGAUGAUGAUGAUGAUGAAGAGUUCUCAUGGGGAAACCAGAUGAUGAAAGAUGAUGUGCUGAUAUUUUCCCCAAUUUAGUUUUGAAAAAAAGGACUUAAUCAGCCCCUGAGGUGCUGGACGUUGUUUUUCUCUCCGGCGGUGGAAUCUGAUUUCAACUCAACACACAUCACGUGAUCUCUUAAAUAAAAGACUUUUACAAGAAACUUUACAAAAGAAGAAUCCAUUUCUUUGACGAACUGAUGUCAGUGGGCUGGAUUUCUGU